AAAGGACAAACUGAAGUGCACUCCUGAGAACUGGGAUCCAAGGCUAGCGUUCAAGCAGGCUUUGGGUGUUCCCUGUUGCCAGGAUGGAGUGUGAAGACUUUUUGCUGCCUGUUGAUGAAACCUGUCAUUUUGGCUGGGGCAUGGAGUGCCCAGGUUGAACUUUGAUUUGGGCUGUUCUGUGAGAGUGUUGAACUGUAGCAUGUAACCAAAAUAAACCCUUCUCUUCCCCGA